UGAAAGGCUUUUUGAACAAAAUCAAUUCAAUUUCAAUUUCAAUUUAUUAAGGAUUCUGGCUGAAAGCCAUGCUCCCAAAAACAACAUAACAAACAUACAAUCAUAAUAUAAAUUUAAA